rnacentral:rRNA from 1 species
UACGUAGGGUGCAAGCGUUAAUCGGAAUUACUGGGCGUAAAGCGUGCGCAGGCGGUUUUGUAAGUCUGUCGUGAAAUCCCCGGGCUUAACCUGGGAAUGGCGAUGGAGACUGCAAGGCUAGAGUUUGGCAGAGGGGGGUAGAAUUCCACGUGUAGCAGUGAAAUGCGUAGAGAUGUGGAGGAACACCGAUGGCGAAGGCAGCCCCCUGGGCUGACACUGACGCUCAGGCACGAAAGCGUGGGGAGCAAACAGG